rnacentral:rRNA from 1 species
ACCGAGUCUUAACUGGGCGUUAAGUUGCAGGGUAUAGACCCGAAACCCGGUGAUCUAGCCAUGGGCAGGUUGAAGGUUGGGUAACACUAACUGGAGGACCGAACCGACUAAUGUUGAAAAAUUAGCGGAUGACUUGUGGCUGGGGGUGAAAGGCCAAUCAAACCGGGAGAUAGCUGGUUCUCCCCGAAAGCUAUUUAGGUAGCGCCUCGUGAAUUCAUCUCCGGGGGUAGAGCACUGUUUCGGCAAGGGGGUCAUCCCGACUUACCAACCCGAUGCAAACUGCGAAUACCGGAGAAUGUUAUCACGGGAGACACACGGCGGGUGCUAACGUCCGUCGUGAAGAGGGAAACAACCCAGACCGCCAGCUAAGGUCCCAAAGUCAUGGUUAAGUGGGAAACGAUGUGGGAAGGCCCAGACAGCCAGGAUGUUGGCUUAGAAGCAGCCAUCAUUUAAAGAAAGCGUAAUAGCUCACUGGUCGAGUCGGCCUGCGCGGAAGAUGUAACGGGGCUAAACCAUGCACCGAAGCUGCGGCAGCGACGCUUAUGCGUUGUUGGGUAGGGGAGCGUUCUGUAAGCCUGCGAAGGUGUGCUGUGAGGCAUGCUGGAGGUAUCAGAAGUGCGAAUGCUGACAUAAGUAACGAUAAAGCGGGUGAAAAGCCCGCUCGCCGGAAGACCAAGGGUUCCUGUCCAACGUUAAUCGGGGCAGGGUGAGUCGACCCCUAAGGCGAGGCCGAAAGGCGUAGUCGAUGGGAAACAGGUUAAUAUUCCUGUACUUGGUGUUACUGCGAAGGGGGGACGGAGAAGGCUAUGUUGGCCGGGCGACGGUUGUCCCGGUUUAAGCGUGUAGGCUGGUUUUCCAGGCAAAUCCGGAAAAUCAAGGCUGAGGCGUGAUGACGAGGCACUACGGUGCUGAAGCAACAAAUGCCCUGCUUCCAGGAAAAGCCUCUAAGCAUCAGGUAACAUCAAAUCGUACCCCAAACCGACACAGGUGGUCAGGUAGAGAAUACCAAGGCGCUUGAGAGAACUCGGGUGAAGGAACUAGGCAAAAUGGUGCCGUAACUUCGGGAG